rnacentral:rRNA from 1 species
ACCAGACUCCUACGGGAGGCAGCAGUGGGGAAUAUUGCACAAUGGGGGAAACCCUGGUGCAGCAACGCCGCGUGAGUGAAGAAGUAUUUCGGUAUGUAAAGCUCUAUCAGCAGGGAAGAGAAUGACGGUACCUGACUAAGAAGCCCCGGCUAACUACGUGCCAGCAGCCGCGGUAAUACGUAGGGGGCGAGCGUUAUCCGGAUUUACUGGGUGUAAAGGGAGCGUAGACGGUUCUGCAAGUCUGAAGUGAAAGCCCGUGGCUUAACCGCGGAACGGCUUUGGAAACUGUGGAACUGGAGUGCUGGAGAGGCAAGCGGAAUUCCUAGUGUAGCGGUGAAAUGCGUAGAUAUUAGGAGGAACACCAGUGGCGAAGGCGGCUUGCUGGACAGUAACUGACGUUGAGGCUCGAAAGCGUGGGGAGCAAA